rnacentral:rRNA from 1 species
UCUUAACCGGGCGUUAAGUUGCAGGGUAUAGACCCGAAACCCGGUGAUCUAGCCAUGGGCAGGUUGAAGGUUGGGUAACACUAACUGGAGGACCGAACCGACUAAUGUUGAAAAAUUAGCGGAUGACCUGUGGCUGGGGGUGAAAGGCCAAUCAAACCGGGAGAUAGCUGGUUCUCCCCGAAAGCUAUUUAGGUAGCGCCUCGUGAAUUCAUCUCCGGGGGUAGAGCACUGUUUCGGCUAGGGGGCCAUCCCGGCUUACCAACCCGAUGCAAACUGCGAAUACCGGAGAAUGUUAUCACGGGAGACACACGGCGGGUGCUAAUGUCCGUCGUGAAGAGGGAAACAACCCAGACCGCCAGCUAAGGUCCCAAAGUCAUGGUUAAGUGGGAAACGAUGUGGGAAGGCCCAGACAGCCAGGAUGUUGGCUUAGAAGCAGCCAUCAUUUAAAGAAAGCGUAAUAGCUCACUGGUCGAGUCGGCCUGCGCGGAAGAUGUAACGGGGCUAAACCAUGCACCGAAGCUGCGGCAGCGACACCGUGUGUUGUUGGGUAGGGGAGCGUUCUGUAAGCCUGUGAAGGUGUGCUGUGAGGCAUGCUGGAGGUAUCAGAAGUGCGAAUGCUGACAUAAGUAACGAUAAAGCGGGUGAAAAGCCCGCUCGCCGGAAGACCAAGGGUUCCUGUCCAACGUUAAUCGGGGCAGGGUGAGUCGACCCCUAAGGCGAGGCCGAAAGGCGUAGUCGAUGGGAAACGGGUUAAUAUUCCCGUACUUGGUGUUACUGCGAAGGGGGGACGGAGAAGGCUAUGUUGGCCGGGCGACGGUUGUCCCGGUUUAAGCGUGUAGGUAUGUGUUCCAGGUAAAUCCGGUUCACUUUAACACUGAGGCGUGACGACGAGGCACUACGGUGCUGAAGCAACAAAUGCCCUGCUUCCAGGAAAAGCCUCUAAGCAUCAGGUAACAUCAAAUCGUACCCCAAACCGACACAGGUGGUCAGGUAGAGAAUACCAAGGCGCUUGAGAGAACUCGGGUGAAGGAACUAGGCAAAAUGGUGCCGUAACUUCGGGAGAAGGCACGCUGACACGUAGGUGAAGUGAUUUACUCACGGAGCUGAAGUCAGCCGAAGAUACCAGCUGGCUGCAACUGUUUAUUAAAAACACAGCACUGUGCAAACACGAAAGUGGACGUAUACGGUGUGACGCCUGCCCGGUGCCGGAAGGUUAAUUGAUGGGGUCAGCGCAAGCGAAGCUCCUGAUCGAAGCCCCGGUAAACGGCGGCCGUAACUAUAACGGUCCUAAGGUAGCGAAAUUCCUUGUCGGGUAAGUUCCGACCUGCACGAAUGGCGUAAUGAUGGCCAGGCUGUCUCCACCCGAGACUCAGUGAAAUUGAACUCGCUGUGAAGAUGCAGUGUACCCGCGGCAAGACGGAAAGACCCCGUGAACCUUUACUAUAGCUUGACACUGAACAUUGAGCCUUGAUGUGUAGGAUAGGUGGGAGGCUUUGAAGUGUGGACGCCAGUCUGCAUGGAGCCGACCUUGAAAUACCACCCUUUAAUGUUUGAUGUUCUAACGUGGACCCGUGAUCCGGGUUGCGGACAGUGUCUGGUGGGUAGUUUGACUGGGGCGGUCUCCUCCUAAAGAGUAACGGAGGAGCACGAAGGUUGGCUAAUCCUGGUCGGACAUCAGGAGGUUAGUGCAAUGGCAUAAGCCAGCUUGACUGCGAGCGUGACGGCGCGAGCAGGUGCGAAAGCAGGUCAUAGUGAUCCGGUGGUUCUGAAUGGAAGGGCCAUCGCUCAACGGAUAAAAGGUACUCCGGGGAUAACAGGCUGAUACCGCCCAAGAGUUCAUAUCGACGGCGGUGUUUGGCACCUCGAUGUCGGCUCAUCACAUCCUGGGGCUGAAGUAGGUCCCAAGGGUAUGGCUGUUCGCCAUUUAAAGUGGUACGCGAGCUGGGUUUAGAACGUCGUGAGACAGUUCGGUCCCUAUCUGCCGUGGGCGCUGGAGAACUGAGGGGGGCUGCUCCUAGUACGAGAGGACCGGAGUGGACGCAUCACUGGUGUUCGGGUUGUCAUGCCAAUGGCACUGCCCGGUAGCUAAAUGCGGAAGAGAUAAGUGCUGAAAGCAUCUAAGCACGAAACUUGCCCCGAGAUGAGUUCUCCCUGAGACUUUAGGUCUCCUGAAGGAACGUUGAAGACGACGACGUUGAUAGGCCGGGUGUGUAAGCGCAGCGAUGCGUUGAGCUAACCGGUACUAAUGAACCGUGAGGCUUAACCUU